rnacentral:rRNA from 1 species
UACGUAGGGGGCAAGCGUUGUCCGGAUUUAUUGGGCGUAAAGAGCGUGUAGGCGGUUCGGUAGGUCCGUUGUGAAAACUCGAGGCUCAACCUCGAGACGCCGAUGGAAACCAUCGAACUAGAGUCCGGAAGAGGAGAGUGGAAUUCCUGGUGUAGCGGUGAAAUGCGCAGAUAUCAGGAAGAACACCCGUGGCUAAGGCGGCUCUCUAGUACGGUACUGACGCUGAGACGCGAAAGCGUGGGGAGCGAACCGG